rnacentral:rRNA from 1 species
AGGGUUUGAUUCUGGCUCAGGAUGAACGCUAGCUACAGGCUUAACACAUGCAAGUCGAGGGGCAGCAUGACGGAAGCUUGCUUCCGUUGAUGGCGACCGGCGCACGGGUGAGUAACGCGUAUCCAACCUGCCCUUGUCCAUCGGAUAACCCGUCGAAAGGCGGACUAACACGAUAUGCAGUCCACAGCAGGCAUCUAACGUGGACGAAAUGUGAAGGAGAAGGAUGGGGAUGCGUCUGAUUAGCUUGUUGGCGGGGUAACGGCCCACCAAGGCGACGAUCAGUAGGGGUUCUGAGAGGAAGGUCCCCCACAUUGGAACUGAGACACGGUCCAA